GGUCAGGUAGCCUAGUGGUCAAGGCAGCCCAUGUGUGCUGGGUCCAGAUCCAUUGAAUCUGGUCGCUGGUUGAAUCCAGCCCUGACCA
rnacentral:tRNA from 1 species